GGAGGAAAGGCGAAGGUGUCAGGACAGACCCUGCCUGCGUCCUCCAGCUGCUGGAAGGCCCAGCCCAGGUUCAAGUUCACCAGGCAAGGCACGUUUCUCCGUGUUGGGCACGUCCCUCUCCUGCGCCCGCAGACACUGAGUGGAGUUAAGCCGUUGCCCCUGGGGCUCUUAACAGCUCUUUGCACGGUGCUCCGACCUGUAUCCCAUGAGUUAUUUAUUGGGUCCCAUGUUGUUACCUAAUGAUGAUGACAAGUAUUUUCCUUGAGCCUUGAAGACUAAGAGGAGUGCCAGUAACAGUGGCAACAAUAGUCAAUAUUUAUUUUUCUCUUCCUCUGCCAUGCUGGAAACCGAGGAGGAGAUGGAGGCAAGAAUCCGAGACCUGGCUGGAGGCAGGAGACGGAAUGGAUUAAGUGUGGCCGUGUCACUUGGGGCCUGCUCUGUGAGUCCAGUGGGAGGCAGAGAAAUCAACUUCCAGAUUCUCCUCACAACAGCCCUCCCACCAUCAGGCCCAGGCUUCGAGCGAGAUCUCCAGGUGCCAGAAUGAAUGAGAGAAAGUGGGGCUUGUGGUUUGCUGCUGCGACGAUAUUCAGCAGUUGUUCAGAAAUGGUUCCCUGCUGUGUAUCAGAAGGGAAGGGAGAGAGGGCUUCCUUGGAGGAACUGUUCCAAGACGCACAGACCCAAUCAAAUGACGCUCAGAGGGACACAGAAGCAUUGUCUAACAAGAAAAUGGAAAUGUCUAAAGCCAAGUUCAAGGAAGAAGAAAAUCCAGCUGAGAGCAUUUGUCUUGGACAACGUUUGUCUUCUGAAAAAUGCUGGUUGGAGCCCCUCCAGCCCCUCAGAGUCUGGACGUCCUUGGGCCCCGACCCCCUGCUGUGCUCUAUCAGUCUCCUGGCGUGUGGAGCUGGAGAGAUCAAUGACCACGUCUUCCACACUGCUCACAGGACUGCCUUCCUCCAAG